CAAUAGCGUAUAUUAAAGUUGUUGCGGUUAAAAAGCUCGUAGUUGGAUUUCUGCCGAGGACGACCGGUCCGCCCUCUGGGUGAGUAUCUGGCUUGGCCUGGGCAUCUUCUUGGAGAACGUAUCUGCACUUGACUGUGUGGUGCGGUAUCCAGGACUUUACUUGAGGAAAUUAGAGUGUUUCAAGCAGGCAUACGCCUUGAAUACAUUAGCAUGGAAUAAUAAGAUAGGACCUGAGUUCUAUUUUGUUGGUUUCUAGAGCUUAGGUAAUGAUUAAUAGGGACACCUGGGGGCAUUCGUAUUAACGCGUCAGAGGUGAAAUUCUUGGAUUGCGUUACGACGAACUUCGGCGAAAGCAUUUGCCAAGGAUGUUUUCAUUGAUCAAGAACGAAAGUGUGGGGAUUCGAAGAUGAUUAGAUACCG
rnacentral:rRNA from 1 species